rnacentral:lncRNA from 1 species
GUAAAGCCCUAUAUUCUUAUUUUCUGCUCUCAGGCCCACUCGAUUCUGUUUAAGCACUUUGAUUGGUUGAAUGGGGUCCGGUGCGAUUUUAGUGCCGCGGCUUCAGAAGCCACUGGCAGGCUCCCAGCCUUGCGACCAGGGCACCCAUCUCGCGCCCCAGGAUGUGGGCGCCAGCGGCCCUCCUGGGCCCGCCGGACCUCCCCGCCUCCGCGGGCUUCGGGGCCUCGAGGCUGCUGCUGCACCGCCGGCAUCCGAGUGACCUCUCCAGCGAUCCCUCUGCCUGCCUUUGUGGUUUCCAAUUCAGAGUCUGGGGCUGAGGGGCCGGGUGCGGGUCAAGUGACCCCGUUCUGCUCCGGAGGGGGCUGGGCUGGGAGCUGGGAGCUGACCCGUCCCACUCGUCCCACUCACACGGUUCCCCUAGGACCUGGGGAACUCCGCGAACAAAAGCAGGUGGGAUUUGAGGCUCGAUGCUGAGCAGAUUAAAGUUUUAAAAAAGGUUGACCCUGCCACCCCCGUAGGACCGCAGGCUCAUUAGCAAUCUGUUCUCAAAAUCUGAGGCAGCUGCCACGAAGGAUUUGUGAGCCUGUAGUUAGGAGCACUCGUCCCCUACGUCCCCGAGGCCACCCGGAUUGUUCCAGCAGGUCGGUUCCGGCCCCCGGGGUUCUCCUGCGGCCCAGUUCUCCCCAGCGAAGCGAUGGAGACAACAAGGGAAAGAAGAUGCCCCCGCUCAGCGCUCCCUGGCCUGGGCUCCAGACUCCACCGAGGAGGGUGGCUGCGACUGGAGGACUCUCGGGCACCCCUCGAGUGACACCUGACGUCGUGUUCACCCCGGCAGGUUGGGGGCCCUGGGCUCCCUCCCUUCCCCGAGGGCGCGGCCCGUGGCCUGCAGCCUUCCCCUCCUCGGGCCUAGAAAGGGAAAUCUAGACUUUAGAGCCCCGUUUCCCCGUGUUUCUUUUCUAAUAUUUUCUUCUGACUGACAUGUGUGAAUUCAGGAGAGCCCAAGAGGAACAGGCCAUUCUUGGAUUUAAGGGGCUGGUGCUCGGGGAGCACAGCGCGGUGUCGUCCCAAGCCUCUUUAGGACGCUUGGCGGUGGCCGGACAGACGGGCUGAGGAACCGCUCAUCUCAGUAAGUUCCGUCUCUUCCUGAGUU